GUCUACGGCCAUACCACCCUGAACGCACCCGAUCUUGUCUGAUCUUGGAAGCUAAGCAGGGUCGGGUCUGGAAGUACUUGCCUGGAAGAACUUCCAGAGGGAGAAAGGAGAGAAGGAAGCCAGAUGUAAGCU
rnacentral:rRNA from 1 species